GGAUAUUGUUCAUUAAAAAGGAGGAGUCAAUGCAAAACUCAGAUAUCUUCCACCUCUACUUAUCUGACUGCAGAGAGGAGGACAGAGAACAGUGGACACACAGUUUAACAUGAUGGACUAUAGGACAGGACUGCUGCUUUUAACUAUCUGCUGGGCAGGUGUUGAUGGUCAGACUCUGACAGAAUCUGAACCAGUGGUGAAAAGGCCUGGAGAAUCUCACAGAUUGACCUGUACAGCCUCUGGGUUGGACAUCAGUGGCUACUGGAUGAACUGGGUCAGACAGGCUCCUGGAAAAGGACUGGAGUGGAUUGCCAUGAUCAGAUCUGACAGUGCUUAUUUCUACUACUCUCAGUCAGUUCAAGGCCAGUUCACCAUCUCCAGAGACAUCAAUGUCGAUCAAGUGUAUCUGCAGAUGAAC